UAGUAUAUAGACUUCUCCUGAAGUUUAUAUUAAACAUUUAUGGCUAUUAGAUGGGUAUGCGUCCUAUUAGUUAGUUGGUAGGUAACGGCACACCAAGGCUACGAUAGGUAGGGGUCCUGAGAGGGAGAUCCCCACACUGGUACUGAGACACGGACCAGACUCCUACGGGAGGCAGCAGUGAGGAAUAUUGGACAAUGGGCGGGAGCCUGAUCCAGCCAUGCCGCGUGCAGGAAGACUGCCCUAUGGGUUGUAAACUGCUUUUUACAGAGGAAGAACCACCCCCCACGUGUGGGGGCUUGACGGUACUCUGCGAAUAAGGAUCGGCUAACUCCGUG
rnacentral:rRNA from 1 species